AGGUUCCCAAAUAUCUUUCUCAGCAGUGGGCAAAAGCAUCUGGGCGAGGAGAAGUGGGCAAACUUAAAAUUGGGAAAGCUCAAGGGAAGACGGCGGUGUCUUUCAGUCUGAACGAGGAGCUGACCGUGGUGCAGUGCUCUGGGGAGAAGGUUUCGUCAGUGCGCUCCCCGAGAGAACAUCCCUUCACCAUGCAGACGGUGGGCGGCCAGACCCUCGCUGUCUUUACAGAGA